GGUGGUGGAGAGAGCGGCCGCGAGUUCUCGCGAGAUCACGACCCCCUCCCCUUUCGCUCCUCCGCGCUGUCCUUUUGUUCGCCGCUCUCGCGAGAGCCCCCCCCGCGCGCGCGCGCGCGGCCCGGACGGCUCUAGAAGGAAGCGGGCCCCGAGUCACGUGGCCUGCUGACACAGAAAACACUGGAGCCACUUCCUGGAAUUUGGCUGAGUCAGACACAAUUCCCUGGAGGAAGCUGAGCAGCUCCUGAGUACCUGAGUCAAGCAUUAAACCAACACCAGAGUCCUCACAAACCCUCCUUACUGUUAAACUCAGCAAGUUUUUACUGAUGGGCUCGACCAAAACUGCUUUAAACCUGACACUGCCAGGUGCUUGGACACUCAAAUCCUAGCAGGAUUCCCAAAUUUGCUGUUCCUUCACCUGCAGAGCCUCCUCUGGUAGUCGUUCUGAAAGGCUACACUGUUAACCCCCAAAUAGCCAGGAAUACAACUUUCUGGGUGUAGAGGAGGUUGCAUUAGGAAAACAGUGUCACCAGCUGCCACUAAACCCUUGUGGGCUGUGAAGUCAAUGCUGUUUAUGAAGUUGUAUCUGCCUUUUAGAAUAUUUUUAUCCAACACUGAUAGACACUGACCUUGUGUACAUGAGCUUCCUUAUCUGUUUUGAAGCUAUCAACAGGUCACAUGGUACUAACCAUCUUAACAAGCAGAUUUCUCAUCUUACAGAACUAAGGCCUCACUUCUAAGGAAAAGAGAUAUUUUACUAAUCAUAAAGCAACUCAGGCCCUGAAAUCCAGAGAGUGAUACAAAAUAAAUCCUGCCGUGAAUGUAAUUCUCAGGUUGCAGUACUGAGAAUUUGUUUCUUGGUCUACAGAGCUGCUUAUGAGUAUGAUACAAUAUUUGUGUGAGUCUUUCAUAUUGUAAGCAGGGCAAUAAAAAUAUAACUUCAAUGUUGUCCAGCCACAGGUUAGCAGAGGGACUUGGAAAGAGUCUUUAGUCAACAGUAUAUAUCUCUCAGUAAUAUCAGAAAUCUGUCUUUAACAGCAUAAUUUUUACAUGCUCCAUAUGAUCAGUUCCCAAACUUCUGUGGACAGUUUUAGGAGUCAAAAGGCACAAUUUUACUGAUUUGGAGGAAUAACAUGAAAAGAAGAAGCACAUGCAACCAUUGAUGGUACUGCUGGUGAAGCCUUCACUAAAAAGUCUGCAUUUCCCUACAGCAGUGGCUACAAAACUCUUUGGACUCUUUGAAGGAAGAAUGAGUCCAUGACUUUCACACAGGACAUACUUCUUGAGCUGGAGUCAGGGCACAGGACUGCCACCCAAGGCUAUCACUGAAAUGGCAGCAGAAUAGAGGCAAAGGAAUGGGAGACAAGAUAAAAGAUGGUCCCCUUUUGA